rnacentral:rRNA from 1 species
AUGGCCGGAGGCGACGCGUCAUCGGGGGCUGCGCCGGGGCCGGAGACGGCGAGGGAGGCGGAGGUGGACGCGGGGGGCUUCGAGUUCGCCUUCGACAACGAGGCCUUCUCCGACAGGGUCCUGCGGAUAGAGGUCGUCGGCGCUGGCCGGAAGCGCCGCCGUGAAGGUGAUGAUGGAGAAGGUAGUACACCAGUUUUACGAGUCAAGACCAUACAUAUCAGUUCGGUGAUUCUCGCCGCAAAAAGUUCUUUCUUUUUCAAGCUUUUCUCAAAUGGCAUGAAAGAAUCUGGUCAGAGACAGUCAACAGUUAGAAUUGCUGAUUCAGAGGAAAAUGCCUUUAUGGAGCUUUUAUGGUUUAUGUACAAUGGAAGGUUGACACCAACAACUGACUCCACUCUUCUGGUUGAUAUCUUGAUGGCUGCUGACAAAUUUGAUGUCGUUUCAUGCACCAAGCUUUGCGGUCAGCGGCUCAUAGGCCUGCCUAUGACCCUAGAAUCCGCACUGAGGUGCCUAGAUCUCCCAUGUUCCAUUUCAAUGGCAGCUGACCUGUCAGAGGCAGCCAAGAAAUUCCUUGCUAAAAGAUAUGAAAAAUUCCUGUCAACAAAGUUCCAAGAUGAACUGAUGAGAAUUCCUCUCUCUGGGAUUGUGGCCAUCUUAUCAAGGAAUCUCCCCGGGGUUGCAUCCGAAAAAUCCGUUUAUGACUUUGUGCUCAGGUGGGCCGACUUGCAGUACCCAAAUUCAGAAGAAAGACGCAAGAUUUUAAGUUCAAGUUUACUUCCAAUGGUGCCACUAGCGCGUAGCAUGACCAAUGUGAUCCUAAUUGAUCAGCCGUCUUGUAUAAUUAACUUUAGUCUAAAGCGUGAGCACUGCUCUGGGAGCUUCUCAUCAGGAUCGAUGCGCUCGCCACCAUUCUAUUGUGCGGGGCAUGGUUUCUUUCUCUCAGCACACCGUAGAAUGGGGCCGUCCAACUCUUUUGUCCUCAUAAUACAGAAGCUAGAAGACAAGGGCCUAGUAAGGGGGACAUUAGAUUAUGAGAUUGAUGUAAAAACAACACCGUCGCUGGAGUUUACCACCUUGUGGAGGCGCACCACCACCACCGGUUGUAGGCAAGGUUUUGGAUGCAGGCUUCCUUGGCCGGAGGUCAUUCCUGACGAUAGCCCCUUCUUUGUCGAUGACAAACUCCAUAUUCGAGUUCAUGUGAAGAUAACGCUGCAGCCGUAG